GUAGAUAAGCAGCAAGUGAAUUUAAGUGUUGUAUCAAAGGAGAAGGGUGAGGAUGGCUCGGAAAAGCUUGUAUCAUCCAACAUUAUUGUGAAUCUCGAUGCUGAAGAUGAGGAUAUGCCAACUGAAACUGUCC